GAUUGCUGCUGUUGGAUCAUGCUGUCUUGUUGGAGUUAUCUGCAGUGGAACCUUAUAUGUAGCCAACCUUGGUGACUCGAGGGCAGUCUUAGGGAGACUUGUCAGAUCAACUGGCGAGGUUCUCGCGAUUCAGCUCUCUGCAGAACACAAUGUGAGCAUUGAAUCUGUAAGACAGGAGAUGCAAUCUUUGCAUCCAGAUGAUUCACAAAUUGUAGUUUUAAAGCACAAUGUCUGGCGUGUCAAGGGGCUUAUACAGAUUUCAAGAUCCAUUGGUGAUGUGUACUUAAAGAAAUCUGAAUUCAACAGGGAACCACUGUAUGCUAAGUUUCGCCUUCGAGAACCAUUUGGAAAGCCCAUAUUGAGCGCAGAUCCAGCAAUUUCAGUGCACCAUUUGCAACCUGACGAUCAGUUUAUCAUAUUUGCGUCGGAUGGUCUCUGGGAGCACCUAAGUAACCAAGGAGCAGUUGACAUCGUACAAAAUCACCCACGAAAUGGGAUAGCUAGAAGGUUAGUGAAAACUGCACUA
rnacentral:misc_RNA from 1 species